UGAAAAGGUGGGCACUUAGGUUACUGUUUCUUGUCACUUUCAGCUGUCGUUUUCGAACUCAGUCCAGCAUGAACUACAAAAAUUUUAAUAAAUUCUAUUGACAAGUAUAGUGCAGAAAAAUCGCUAUAGUAAGAUGUUGAUGAUGGAUAUGAUUUGUAGAAAUAGCCCUUACAUUUUACAAUGAUGAGAAUAGAGAAUGAGGAAAAAUAUAACAAACACAAGUGCUCAUCACACUGGCAAACGGGCGCUCCCUCCCACUAAAGUGGAGAAUGAAGGGUGUGUGGAGGCUGAGGUCUCUUAAAGAGAUCACCCACCCACACCGCAGAACCUCAGAUCCCCAGAGAAGUGGGAGUACCGAGGGGUGAACCCUGACACUGCCUCCUCCUAAAAGGGCAUCUAGGAAACACUUCUCCCAGUCUUGUGAGCUUUAUGGCAACAAGGGACAGUGAUAUGCUGGAGUCUGGUCUGAUGAAUUGCUGAUCUGACCUUUGUCCUUGCCAUUCUGAUGUAUCAUCGUCUGACUCGCCAGAGAACAAAUGGAAAGAAUAGAUGGGUGUAAGGACGGCACCGCAGCCAGGCGCAGACAUUGAUUGAGCUGAGCCUUGAAAUCCAAACAUGACUGCACAUAUGUGAAAGCUGUGAGAACAUAUGCCCAUCAGCAACACUGCAUUAUCAUACCCUCUCGACUGUGGAGUAUUCAGCCCUGCGUGAAAAUUCUCUCAGGGCACCUAAACAUUCGAUAAGUGCUUUUGGCAUU